rnacentral:rRNA from 1 species
AUUGAACGCUGGCGGAAUGCUUUACACAUGCAAGUCGAACGGCAGCACGGACUUCGGUCUGGUGGCGAGUGGCGAACGGGUGAGUAAUGUAUCGGAACGUGCCCAGUCGUGGGGGAUAACGUAGUGAAAAUUACGCUAAUACCGCAUACGAUCUAUGGAUGAAAGCGGGGGAUCGCAAGACCUCGCGCGAUUGGAGCGGCCGAUAUCAGAUUAGGUAGUUGGUGGGGUAAAGGCCCACCAAGCCGACGAUCUGUAGCUGGUCUGAGAGGACGACCAGCCACACUGGAACUGAGACACGGUCCAGACUCCUGCGGGAGGCAGCAGUGGGGAAUUUUGGACAAUGGGCGAAAGCCUGAUCCAGCCAUUCCGCGUGCAGGAUGAAGGCCCUCGGGUUGUAAACUGCUUUUGUACAGAACGAAAAGGUUUCUACUAAUACUAGGAGCUCAUGACGGUACUGUAAGAAUAAGCACCGGCUAACUACGUGCCAGCCGCCGCCGCGG